GACGAACGCUGGCGGCGUGCUUAACACAUGCAAGUCGAACGUGAUUUUUGUGGAAAUUCUUUCGGGAAUGGAAAUGAAAUGAAAGUGGCGAACGGGUGAGUAACACGUGAGCAACCUACCUUACACAGGGGGAUAGCCGUUGGAAACGACGAUUAAUACCGCAUGAGACCACAGAAUCGCAUGAUAUAGGGGUCAAAGAUUUAUCGGUGUAAGAAGGGCUCGCGUCUGAUUAGCUAGUUGGAAGGGUAAAGGCCUACCAAGGCGACGACCAGUAGCCGGUCUGAGAGGAUGAACGGCCACAUUGGAACUGAGACACGGUCCAAACUCCUACGGGAGGCAGCAGUGGGGAAUAUUGCACAAUGGGGGGAACCCUGAUGCAGCGACGCCGCGUAAGCGAAGAAGGUUUUCGAAUCGUAAAGCUCUGUCCUAUGAGAAGAUAAUGACGGUAUCAUAGGAGGAAGCCCCGGCUAAAUACGUGCCAGCAGCCGCGGUAAUACGUAUGGGGCGAGCGUUGUCCGGAAUUAUUGGGCGUAAAGGGUACGUAGGCGGUUUUUUAAGUCAGGUGUGAAAGCGUGAGGCUUAACCUCAUUAAGCACUUGAAACUGGAAGACUUGAGUGAAGGAGAGGAAAGUGGAAUUCCUAGUGUAGCGGUGAAAUGCGUAGAUAUUAGGAGGAAUACCGGUGGCGAAGGCGACUUUCUGGACUUUUACUGACGCUCAGGUACGAAAGCGUGGGGAGCAAACAGG
rnacentral:rRNA from 1 species